AGAGUUUGAUCAUGGCUCAGGACGAACGCUGGCGGCGUGCUUAACACAUGCAAGUCGAGCGGAAAGGCCCUUCGGGGUACUCGAGCGGCGAACGGGUGAGUAACACGUGAGCAACCUGCCCCUGACUCUGGGAUAAGCCUGGGAAACCGGGUCUAAUACCGGAUACGACACGUUCCCGCAUGGGACGCGUGUGGAAAGUU
rnacentral:rRNA from 1 species